rnacentral:rRNA from 1 species
GAUGAACGCUGGCGGCGUGCCUAAUACAUGCAAGUCGAGCGAACGGACGAGAAGCUUGCUUCUCUGAUGUUAGCGGCGGACGGGUGAGUAACACGUGGAUAACCUACCUAUAAGACUGGGAUAACUUCGGGAAACCGGAGCUAAUACCGGAUAAUAUUUUGAACCGCAUGGUUCAAAAGUGAAAGACGGUCUUGCUGUCACUUAUAGAUGGAUCCGCGCUGCAUUAGCUAGUUGGUAAGGUAACGGCUUACCAAGGCAACGAUGCAUAGCCGACCUGAGAGGGUGAUCGGCCACACUGGAACUGAGACAAGGUCCAGACUCCUAAGGGAGGCAGCAGUAGGGAAUAUUCCGCAAUGGGCGAAAGCCUGACGGAGCAACGCCGCGUGAGUGAUGAAGGUCUUCGGAUCGUAAAACUCUGUUAUUAGGGAAGAACAUAUGUGUAAGUAACUGUGCACAUCUUGACGGUACCUAAUCAGAAAGCCACGGCUAACUACGUG